AGAAGCUAAAGAGUUUAAACAAAAGCAUCCUGCGUAGCUGGGAAAAGGCAGUCUCAAAGCAGAAAUCCCAUGUCAAGGGAACAGUCAGAAGUGCCCCUAGAGCAUGAUGGGAUUGAGUGUCUUCAAAGGACAGGCCGGAAUAGAACCAUCAAAUACGGUUGUAAUACAGAACAGCUCACAGUUCCAGGUUACAGAUCUUCAUAGCAGAAAACGUAGCCGCAAGCCAGAACAGAUAGACAUUUUGAUUAUGUGAAGAUUUAGAAACUCUAUAUAAAAGACAUCCAUUUAUUAAAGUCAUCAGGCAAACCUGUACCUGAAAACAUUAUAAGACUGAUAACAACAACAACAACAAAAUAUUAUGAUCUUCCAGGAGCUCUUAAACUUUGAUGAGAAAAAAGACAAGCAAUCUGACAGAAAGAAAAUGGCAAAGGGUGUGAAAAGAUUGAUCUUGGAAAAGGCAGCGUAAACCAUCAACAGAGAAGAUACUUCCAGCCCGAAGGUCAGAAAAAGCAUGUUUUCAAAUAGCAGUGAAAGGUUGCUGGUGGCCGACAGCUAAGUGUGAGACUCCAACUAAAGGGCACAGAGAAAAAUAUGUCUCAGACAUCACUAACAGAAAUGGGAACUGAAACAUCUCUUUUGUAAGUAGUGCGGCAGCUUUUAUUAAAACACAAAAUUGAUUUGCUCUUUGAUUCAGCAACGCUAGCCCCACUCCUGGAUCAUCAUCCUUUAAAACAAAAAGCACGCAUACGUGAUGAAAGUUAUGUCAGUGUUACUGUCGUGAACAGAGCCAGGGAUGUAAGGGCCAUUUCGCAGGCCGGAGAGAGGGCUCUGUGGUUAAGGGCAUGUGAGCUGCUCUUCCAGAGGACCCAGGUUCGAUUCCCAGCACCCAUGUGGUGGCUCACAACUGUAUGUAAAUCUGGUUUCAGAUUUACAGAGGAGUCAGUGCCUCUUCGGUCCUCCUCAGACACCAAGUAUACAAGUGGUGCACAGACACACAGGCAAACACCCGUACACAUUAAGGGGUGAUGGUGGCACUUCACAAAGGCAGGCCAAUCAGUUAGGAUCCAUGAACACCUUAGCGUAUUGUGUAGCUAGAUCAGUUGACUGAGUUGGUGGGGGUCAUGAGAUUACUGGUGAGAGUAGGGCAUGGUGGUUCAUACCUUUAGACCUAGCACACAAGAGGAAGAGGCAAAGCAGAUGUCUUUGAGUUCAAGGAUUUCCUGGUCUACAUAGUGAGUCCCAGGACAAUCAUGACUGCAUAAUAAGACCCUUCAUUUUUUGAAAACAUGCACACACACACACACACACACACACACACAUACAUACACACACACAUGAGACAGAAGAAAGGUAGGGUAAAGGAACAUAUACAUAAGACUACUUUAAUGAAACGAUGUACAUAUACACACGUGAAACACAUCUGUCUCCA